UACGUAGGGUGCGAGCGUUGUUCGGAAUUACUGGGCGUAAAGGGCGCGUAGGCGGCCCGCUAAGUCGAACGUGAAAUCCCUGGGCUCAACCCAGGAACUGCGUCCGAUACUGGCAGGCUUGAAUCCGGGAGAGGGAUGUGGAAUUCCAGGUGUAGCGGUGAAAUGCGUAGAUAUCUGGAGGAACACCGGUGGCGAAGGCGGCAUCCUGGACCGGUAUUGACGCUGAUGCGCGAAAGCCAGGGGAGCAAACGGG
rnacentral:rRNA from 1 species